AUAACAAGCCAUGUCCUAACCUCAGUUAAUGAUUGUAUUCCCACUAUUUCUAGAGAGGUUAACCUAAUAUUGACUCUAUUUUUUAUUUAUUCUUUUGUUUUUAUUUUAGAUCAUGUUCAUUGCAUUUAUAUUCUUUAUAUUAUUCUUUGUUUUUAUUUUAGAUAACAAGCCCUGUCUUACCCAUAUUUAAUCAUUGUACAGGUUAAUAUUGACUCCUCAUCAAAUAACAAGCCAUGUCCUAACCUCAGUUAAUGAUUGUAUUCCCACUAUUUCUAGAGAGAUAACAAGCCAUGUCCUAAUCUCAGUUAAUGAUUGUACAGGUGGUGAUUUAUCCUUCAUUAAUAAAAGAAAAAGAUGGCAGAUCAAUCAAAAAAAGAAACGCACUAGGGAUAGCGAG